rnacentral:lncRNA from 1 species
AUUCUCUUUCAAUGAUGUUUCUUUUUUUUUCUUAAAAAAAAAACAAUCCAUAAAAAUAUAUAAUCAAAACAUAACAAGUUUAGAUCUCCCCUCGCAUUGAAAGCAAAUGAACAAAACAUAUUCUUGGCGUCUACAAUCCCAACAAUAUAUGAAAAAAUUUCAAACUCAUCCAUAGAACAUUAGCCUAACGCUUCUCCACCGCCAUUCUUUCUCCUAACCUCUUCAUGGUCCAUGAGGCCUGCAGACAUCGUCAACACAAUGUAUCCAAACUGUCUGCAGGGUAGUAAGCUUGUAGUCCAUCCCUCAAUUUCCUUGACACUAACAUCAAAGCGAGGGCUAAUGACUCCGCACUUGUUCAACCUUCCAUUGAGUUCGACCACAAUUUUACUAGAUCGGUGGUCAUCUACAUAAUCAAGCUUCCAAAUAUAUCCAUGCUUCUACAUCACCAAGGAAAACUGAAUAAUGACCUUGGAUGAGGGUCUAAUCAUGACCUGACGCUUCCCUCGCUUCUCCGCAUUAUACAUACUCUUGAGAGCAUCAUUUAGAACACUAACUCUCACUAUCUUUGCUUACAAAUAAUGAUGUGCUGGAAGCCAAGAAAGAUCUCAAGGAGCCGGUGCCACACCAGGAGCUAGGGUUUUGAGCUUUUUUUUUUUCCUGAU